UAGUGCACUUGUUAAGCAUUGGGCUUGAGACAAGAGGAUCCUCAGUUCAAACCUCCGCCAGACUGCAAAAUCACCAAGGACCUUUGGGCAACAUCCUUAAAUCAACCAAAUCGCUCCUGGUGUGUAGUGAGCACCUUGCAUGCCAGCA